rnacentral:rRNA from 1 species
UACGGGGGGGGCAAGCGUUGUUCGGAAUUACUGGGCGUAAAGGGCUCGUAGGUGGCCAACUAAGUCAGACGUGAAAUCCCUCGGCUUAACCGGGGGAACUGCGUCUGAUACUGGAUGGCUUGAGUUCGGGAGAGGGAUGCGGAAUUCCAGGUGUAGCGGUGAAAUGCGUAGAUAUCAGGAGGAACACCGGUGGCGAAGGCGGGUCUCUGGGCCGAUACUGACGCUGAGGAGCGAAAGCGUGGGGAGCGAACAGG